CGGACGCCGUUAUCAUCCAUUCCUCGCUACUGUUGCAGUUUGCUUCCGAGCUGCACCUUCCAUGCACACGCCUGCUGCUACCUUGACCUUUCAACACACUGCAAAAUGGGUUAUGCAUCGUGCAGAGGUUUUAUGACCCUCGGCCGGAGACAAGCAGCGGAUUGUGUGCAGUGUCCUUGGGUUGCCUUGUCGGUCAGCGCCUGGAAGGUCUUCAAGGACACAGAGACGGAACGGAAGCACACUGGGACCUUUUGUGACACAUACAAGAGGCAUCGAGUGCAAGCGAAUGCAAGUGUCGAAGACACAUUGGGCACGUGAGCCGCAUAUUCUAAUCAUCUCUAACA